rnacentral:rRNA from 1 species
AUGCGCAGAUCAGUACUGCCUGACCAUUAUCCUAGCUAUAGCAACCAUAUAUCUUGCAUAAAUAAAUCAAUCGUAAUGGCGGCGGACGGCGGCAGCAGCAGCAAGAGGACGUGGGUGGUGGACGUGGCGAAGAGGCUCAAGGAAGCCGACAAGUCGGCGGAUGUGUCGCGGUGGGAGCGUCACUGCAUCUACCAAGUGCCGCCCUGCAUGACCAACAUCAAGAGCAAGGCCUACCAGCCGCAGGUGGUGUCACUCGGCCCCUUCCACCACGGCGACCGCGACCUGCGCCCCAUGGAGGAGCACAAGCACCGGGCGCUGCGCCAGCUGCUCCUGCGCGCGAACCGGCCGCUCGACGACUUCGUCGCCGCCGUGGAGGAUGUCUUGGGGGAGCUGGAGGGUGCGUACAUGGACCUCGACGGCGAGUGGCGCGACGGCGGUGGCAGGGAGCGGUUCCUGGCCAUGAUGAUCUUCGACGGCUGCUUCCUGCUGGAGGUGAUGAGGUGCACGGCCGCCGAUGGGAAGCAGGUCGCCGGCUACGCACAUAACGACCCGAUCUUCAGCCCCCACGGGAUACUCUACAUGGUGCCCUACAUCCGGCGAGACGUGCUCAUGCUCGAGAACCAGCUACCUCUACUCCUGCUUCAGAAGCUCAUUGAGGUUGAGAGUGGAAAGCCUCCGAACGACGACUUCAUCAACCGAAUGGUGCUGAAAUUUCUGGCCCAAUCAUCCGGGACACUACCAGCAGGCAUCGGCCUAGGGCUCCACCCGCUGGAUGUCUUUCGCCGGAGCAUGCUCACUGGUAAGCACCACAAAAUCCGGAGCCCCCAGGACAUUGAGGACGACAACGCCAUCAUCCGGUCAGCUGUGGAGCUCUACGAAGCCGGGAUCCAGUUCAAGCCGAGCAAGACGUUGAGCCUGCACGACAUCCGGUUCCGGCGCGGCACGCUGAGCAUGCCGACGGUGUCGGUGGACGACUCCACCGAGUACAUGUUCCUCAACAUGAUGGCGUUCGAGCGGCUGCAUGCUGGAGCUGGCAACGACGUGACCGGCUAUGUCUUCUUCAUGGACAACAUCAUCGACUCGGCCAAGGACGUGGCGCUGCUGAGCUCCAAGGGCAUCAUCCAGAACGCCAUCGGUAGCGACCAAGCCGUGGCCAAGCUGUUCAACACCAUUUCUAGGGACGUGGUGCUCGAGCCCAACAGCGCGCUUGAUGCCGUGCAGCGACAGGUCAAUGGCUACUUCCGGCAGCCAUGGAACAUGUGGCGCGCCAACCUCAUCCACACCUACUUCAGGAGCCCGUGGGCGUUCCUCUCCCUUGCGGCCGCCGUCUUCCUCCUCGGCAUGACCAUCAUGCAGACCGUCUACACCGUGCUGCAGUUCUACGGUGGUGACAACAACAGCCCGCCGCCAUCGGCACCAUCUCCUAUGUGA